GGGUUUUGUAUCCCCACCCACCAAACUACAUCACAACAACUGGUUUAACAUGAAAUAAGGGAGAAACGAAGGCUUACCUACCGGAGCAACUCUGAUGGCUCUUGGAGAUGGACAUUUGAUGUUUGCUGAUGAAAACCAGGGGCCUUUCUCUUCAGGUAACACUUAUAAUUUCCUUGUUUAAGUUUCAACAUGUCGAUCUUGAAUAUUCUUCUCAUUCUCCAACCUUAGUCUGUAUGAAUGAUUGGUUUGUUGUUGAUGUGUGUGUGUGUGAGCUUAAGGAAUGGUCGGGCCUUAGCUCAAUUGUUUAGAGUUUCAAACAUUGAAACUCCAAUAACAAUGGAGAUUUAGAGCUCUAGUGUGGGUGAAGGUGAGGAAUAUGAGAGUGAAAGUUUCAGUGUGAUUAUGUAUAAAAUGGUGAAAAGUUCCCCCGAGAGAGUGCAUAGUAAUGUGUUAUAUAGGCUGUAGGUUUGGAUCUAAUGGAGGCUUGGAUUGAGGUUAAGAGUUAGUUAUGUGAGGUAUGGAGUUAGUUGGAUUGAACUCACUGAGUUACCUGUAAAAUAAGUUAGUUGAGGGUUCAGUUAUGUGUUUCUAUUAGUGCAUGGGUUAUUUGGUUUAUGAUUCUUUGUGUUACAUCUGUUAGUUAUGGUGGUCUCCAAUUCUGGUGUGUUAUGUUGAAUUUUACAGGUUGAAAUUAUUACUUAUGAAGGGGAUUUAAUUGGAGCUAAAGAAUUUUGCAGGUGCCAAACUUUUGUUAGUUGCAGUGAAGCCCUGCUUUUGUUUUAUGUUCAGUUAAAUAUGCAGGUUUAUGUUAGUUUUGAUUUUCUUGCUACUUGUUGCAUUUGCUUGGUCAUGGUGUUCUGCAGAAUUUCUGACUUGGUUAUGAUUUUCCUGCGCUGCUUGGAUGUUAUGUUAAUUGUUAGUCAAUUGGAGUUUCCUACUAUGUUAAUUAAUGUUAGUGUUAUGAUGCUUUGGUUUUGGCAUAUAAAUCCAUCAUUGCCCUUUUUACUCAGACCUUGUAUGUGCUGCUAGAUCCACCAUGCUAGGCUUAAGGCUGACAUUUAGACGAAUGUUGCAUUAUGGUAAUGGCUGCUUAACGAUGUUGAUCACCUGUUGGGUCAUACUGGUUGGAGGGCUAUGCAUUGUUAUACAGGUUGCUUGCUGUUAAACUUGGACUGCUGCAAGUACUAACAGUUGGUAUGCAAGGCAAAAUCACAUGAUUGACAUGCCAAAAAGGGUGAUUUGAUAUUGUUAUUGAAUAGAAUUGAAUUCAUUUGUUAUGAAUUAUGUAGGUAGAAUGAUAUACUUGGAAGAACAUGAAAUGAUUUGAAUUUUAGUUCUUGUUUUGUGUGAACCAAAAACUCACGGCCUUUUGAUUAUUUUGCUUUUGCAGGGAUUUAUAUGCAAAAUGGAUGACCUAACAUGGAAGCAUAUUGAUAUGAAGAAGAUGGAUGGUGCAUAAUGAAGAAUGAAACAUGUAGAUUAUGGUUAUGUUUCUUAGGUUGACUAUGGUCAAAGUUUACCAAAAGUCAACUAUUGACCAGAGUCAACCUUGGGUCAAGAUUGUAAUAUUUUGUAAAUUUUUGGUAUGAACACUUGUAAAUGAAACUUUUUUUAUGGAUUUUUGUAUAAAAAUGCCCCUUUGAUCUUGGUGAAACAUGCC
rnacentral:lncRNA from 1 species